AUUGAACGCUGGCGGCAUGCCUUACACAUGCAAGUCGAACGGCAGCACGGGAGCAAUCCUGGUGGCGAGUGGCGAACGGGUGAGUAAUAUAUCGGAACGUGCCCAGUCGUGGGGGAUAACGUAGCGAAAGCUACGCUAAUACCGCAUACGAUCUAUGGAUGAAAGCGGGGGAUCGCAAGACCUCGCGCGAUUGGAGCGGCCGAUAUCAGAUUAGGUAGUUGGUGAGGUAAAGGCUCACCAAGCCGACGAUCUGUAGCUGGUCUGAGAGGACGACCAGCCACACUGGAACUGAGACACGGUCCAGACUCCUACGGGAGGCAGCAGUGGGGAAUUUUGGACAAUGGACGCAAGUCUGAUCCAGCCAUUCCGCGUGCAGGAUGAAGGCCCUCGGGUCGUAAACUGCUUUUGUACGGAACGAAAGGUUUCUCUUAAUACGAGGAGCUCAUGACGGUACCGUAAGAAUAAGCACCGGCUAACU
rnacentral:rRNA from 1 species